rnacentral:rRNA from 1 species
UAGGGAAUCUUCGGCAAUGGGGGGAACCCUGACCGAGCAACGCCGCGUGAGUGAAGAAGGUUUUCGGAUCGUAAAGCUCUGUUGUUAAGGAAGAACGAGUGUGAGAAUGGAAAGUUCAUACUGUGACGGUACUUAACCAGAAAGGGACGGCUAACUACGUGCCAGCAGCCGCGGUAAUACGUAGGUCCCGAGCGUUGUCCGGAUUUAUUGGGCGUAAAGCGAGCGCAGGCGGUUAGAUAAGUCUGAAGUUAAAGGCAGUGGCUCAACCAUUGUAGGCUUUGGACACUGUUUACCUUGAGUGCCGACGGGGAGAGUGGAAUUCCAUGUGUAGCGGUGAAAUGCGUGGAUAUAUGGAGGAACACCGGUGGCGAAAGCGGCUCUCUGGUCUGUAACUGACGCUGAGGCUCGAAAGCGUGGGGAGCGAACAGG